rnacentral:lncRNA from 1 species
GGGAUUCCAGCUGACAACCCAGUUGAGGUCUUGACUAACUGUCAUCAUCAUCAGCUGCCAGCCCAAUGAGUGAAGGGCUUGCUCCGUGCAGUGGAGUCCCCAAAGCCUCUGAGCCUUUCUAGAUGGCUCGCUCCAGAUGGAGAUGCAGAGAUUAGUUGUCCCUUCAAAUUCCUGACCUAUAAUUAAGUGGUUCCUUCCUACUAAGUUUUGGGGGUGAUUUCUUAUACAAUAAUAACUAGAACAAUAUCUUGGAUGUCAUACUGGGUAAUAUGACCCUUGUUCAUUGAUUUAAGAAUAGGGCUUCUGGAGUCCCCUGGUGGUCUAGUGGUUAAGGAUCGGGCACUGUCACUGCUGUGGCUCUGAUUACUGCUGUGGCUCAGGUUCCCAGGCUAGGGAUCAAAUCAAAUCAAAUGCAGUAUUUUCUGUAGUUUUUGUCAUAAAAAAGAAUCAAUGUUCGGGAGGCAGUGAAUUCAUCAGACUAAAGGGUAGCAUCGCGAUGUCUCUCUUAUUCACUCUGGCUUUAGUCUCUGAGCGAAACACGUGGGCUAGGUGGUCUCCAACGGUUGAUUAUCUUUAAGUUUUUUUAUUUUACUCGUAUAAGAGUUCUACAAUUUCGUCAGUGUGCUGUUUUGUUCAGGAGCAUGAGUUUGGAAGCUGAUUCCUUGAUUCUUAGCCUGAUACUAACGAGCUGCAUCAUUUUGGACAAGUCAUCCAACCUCAGUUCCUUCAUCUGUAAAAUGGGGCUCAUGAUCAUGUCGACUCUGUGGGAUUAUUGAGAACCUUAAAUGAGCUAAUGACUACUCGGAGCAGUAAAUGUCUGACACAGUAAGUUUUAUGAGCAAUGGCUGUCAUUAUCCACUGUCACAUGUUGUUGGCUGUGAUAGUUCAUUCACCUCUUAAAUCCCACGUUGAGAAGACGCUUAAUGAAUGCUUCUUUGUCGCGGGUUUUGUAGACGUGACCAAUUGGGUGUCAAUGAGAUUGCAUGACCCGAGUCCCUUCCACUCAAGGUACCACGUGCUAGGUAAAUCUGAGUUCCAGGAUCAACUGACACUGGAAGUGGGUGUCUCGGGAGUACUGAUUCAUUAUAAAUAAUAGUAAUAAUACACGGAGAAUACGUCACUGUCAAUGUUAAUUAUGGCAGCGUAGCUACUUCCAAGGCUAGAAACUCUAUCUAGAAAUUUUAUGUAUCAUUCCCACACUGUAGCUGAAAGAAAUGCUAGUAACGUUAAUAGGAGGUCUGUAAGAGUUUCAGCGACUCAAAAAGGGACACGUAAAUAGAAUCAUUAGGCACAUUCCUCAAGUUGUCAGUCACACUGGUCGUGGAUUGAAUGUCCUGGGUGUGACUCCACUGGCAAAAAUAUCAGGGACUGUUUUGCAGAACAAAACCUUUCUGGCUGAGAAACCUGAAAGGCUUGCCGUUUAAUUGAUUUCGCUCAUUUGUGGUAGCUGAGCAGGUGAAUGGGAAGAUAACCGAUACCAUCCCGAAAACUUAGGCAGACAGGUGCUUCAUUUCUGCAUAAAAGUAUUCAACACCUGAUGGAAAUGCAAUGCAGGUCGAUGUUUUCUUUCUGCUUUACUUUCUGGACUAUUUCUGGAUUAUGAAGUGCCAAUAAUUGAGAAAGUGGAAGGAACAGCCAAUUAGAUGAGAACGCCCUCAAUUAGAUGUGAGAAGCUGGAAACAGUUGGCUGGGAGAAAGAAGGUUUCUAAUAAUUCCAACCAGAUCUAUUAAUUCUUUUCUAUAGGGAAAAAAAAAAAAACAAAAA